rnacentral:rRNA from 1 species
CUUAUGAAGUUAGCGGCGGACGGGUGAGUAACACGUGGGUAACCUGCCCAUAAGACUGGGAUAACUCCGGGAAACCGGGGCUAAUACCGGAUAACAUUUUGAACCGCAUGGUUCGAAAUUGAAAGGCGGCUUCGGCUGUCACUUAUGGAUGGACCCGCGUCGCAUUAGCUAGUUGGUGAGGUAACGGCUCACCAAGGCAACGAUGCGUAGCCGACCUGAGAGGGUGAUCGGCCACACUGGGACUGAGACACGGCCCAGACUCCUACGGGAGGCAGCAGUAGGGAAUCUUCCGCAAUGGACGAAAGUCUGACGGAGCAACGCCGCGUGAGUGAUGAAGGCUUUCGGGUCGUAAAACUCUGUUGUUAGGGAAGAACAAGUGCUAGUUGAAUAAGCUGGCACCUUGACGGUACCUAACCAGAAAGCCACGGCUAACUACGUGCCAGCAGCCGCGGUAAUACGUAGGUGGCAAGCGUUAUCCGGAAUUAUUGGGCGUAAAGCGCGCGCAGGUGGUUUCUUAAGUCUGAUGUGAAAGCCCACGGCUCAACCGUGGAGGGUCAUUGGAAACUGGGAGACUUGAGUGCAGAAGAGGAAAGUGGAAUUCCAUGUGUAGCGGUGAAAUGCGUAGAGAUAUGGAGGAACAC